rnacentral:rRNA from 1 species
AUUGAACGCUGGCGGCAGGCUAAACACAUGCAAGUCGAGCGGGGAAAUAUAGCUUGCUAUAUGACCUAGCGGCGGACGGGUGAGUAAUGCUUAGGAAUAUGCCUAUUAGUGGGGGACAACAGUUCGAAAGGGAUGCUAAUACCGCAUACGCCCUACGGGGGAAAGCAGGAGAUCAUUUGACCUUGCGCUUACAGAUGAGCCUAAGUCGGAUUAGCUAGUUGGUGGGGUAAAGGCCCACCAAGGCGACGAUCUGUAGCGGGUAUGAGAGGAUGGGCGGCCACACUGGGACUGAGACACGGCCCAGACUCCUACGGGAGGCAGCAGUGGGGAAUAUUGGACAAUGGGGGGAACCCUGAUCCAGCCAUGCCGCGUGUGUGAAGAAGGCCUUUUGGUUGUAAAGCACUUUAAGCGAGGAGGAGGCUCCUGUAGAUAAUACCUACAGUGAGUGGACGUUACUCGAAGAAUAAGCACCGGCUAACUCUGUGCCAGCAGCCGCCGUAA